rnacentral:rRNA from 1 species
UACGUAGGACCAAGCGUUGUCCGGAUUUACUGGGUGUAAAGGGUGCGCAGGCGGAUGGAUAAGUCAGAGGUGAAAGUCUGCAGCUUAACUGUAGAAUUGCCUUUGAUACUGUUUAUCUUGAGUGUGGGAGAGGUUGAUGGAAUUCCAGGUGUAGCAGUGAAAUGCGUAGAUAUCUGGAAGAACACCAGUGGCGAAGGCGGUCAACUGGCCCAUAACUGACGCUCAUGCACGAAAGCGUGGGUAGCGAACAGG